CGCUACCGUCUCGCCAGCAAGAACGACGCAGAACACUCGGAUCCUUCUGCAUGAGAAGACCUGACCGCUGUGGGUAGCACUAGUCCUGGAUGAUAUAAAAAUGAAAAGGUGGAGUGAACACAACAUUCAUUGUUCUCUGCUUCCUUGCUGUAAAUGCUACUUCAAGCUCUGGAACCUCCAGCCAAGACUGACUACACCCUUGAACUGUGAGCCAGAAUAAAUACUUUAUCUCUCG